CUAGGAAUCUUGGGAAUGGGCGAAAGCCUGACCCAGCAACGCCGCGUGGGCGAUGAAGGCCUUCGGGUCGUAAAGCCCUUUUGAGGGGGAAGAUGAUGACGGUACCCCUCGAAUAAGCCACGGCUAACUACGUGCCAGCAGCCGCGGUAAUACGUAGGUGGCAAGCGUUGUCCGGAUUUACUGGGCGUAAAGGGCGUGCAGGCGGUUUGUUAAGUCUAGGGUGAAAGCUCCCGGCUCAACUGGGAGAGGUCCUUGGAUACUGGCAGACUUGAGGAGAGUAGAGGAGAGUGGAAUUCCCGGUGUAGUGGUGAUAUGCGUAGAUAUCGGGAGGAACACCAGUGGCGAAGGCGGCUCUCUGGGCUCUACCUGACGCUGAGACGCGAAAGCGUGGGGAGCGAACCGGAUUAGAUACCCCCGUAGUCCCUGAGCGGGCUGGCAAGGCGCAU
rnacentral:rRNA from 1 species